CCUGGGAAACAGAUGCUAAUACCGGAUAACAACAGAUGAUGCCUAUCAACUGUUUAAAAGAUGGUUCUGCUAUCACUCUUGGGAUGGACCUGCGGUGCAUUAGCUAGUUGGUAGGGUAACGGCCUACCAAGGCGAUGAUGCAUAGCCCGAGUUGAGAGACUGAUCGGCCACAUUGGGACUGAGACACGGCCCAAAACUCCUACGGGAGGCAGCAGUAGGGAAUCUUCCACAAUGGACGCAAGUCUGAUGGAGCAAACGCCGCGUGAGUGAAGAAGGGUUUCGGCUCGUAAAGCUCUGUUGCUGGUGAAGAAGGACAGGGGUAGUAACUGACCUUUGUUUGACGGUAAUCAAUUAGAAAGUCACGGCUAACUACGUGCCAGCAGCCGCGGGUAAU
rnacentral:rRNA from 1 species